AUCAGUGGCAUCAAUCUUUGGUUUCCCCUUUCAUUUCUACUCAUUGGUCCUCGCUAACAACAGAUCUGAGAGGAGCAGCUGGUCAGAAGAAUGAACAAAACCCCAGCAAUUCCUCGGGCAGCCCAGGUUCACCCAUGCCAACAGAACCCGCACCUUCCCCUGCACAGGUGCACCUCGCCGGCCCUGCUGAGACACUUCCCAGCAAGGGGGACAGAGAAGAGAGAAUGCCAAGAUUACUGGUGCAUUAAAUGAUUGAGAAAUGUGUGCCAUUUAAAGCCAUUUCACUUCCUGCCUGAUACCACAAAGAAGCUUUUUAAUAAAGUUAGCCUUGCCUCUC